rnacentral:rRNA from 1 species
UACGUAGGGUGCGAGCGUUAAUCGGAAUUACUGGGCGUAAAGCGCGCGCAGGCGGUCCUUUAAGUCUGAUGUGAAAGCCCACGGCUCAACCGUGGAAGGUCAUUGGAAACUGGGGGACUUGAGUGCAGAAGAGGAAAGUGGAAUUCCAAGUGUAGCGGUGAAAUGCGUAGAGAUUUGGAGGAACACCAGUGGCGAAGGCGACUUUCUGGUCUGUAACUGACGCUGAGGCGCGAAAGCGUGGGGAGCAAACAGG